rnacentral:tRNA from 1 species
UCCCUGGUAGUUCAGUUGGUAAAGAAUCUGCCUGCAAUGCAGGAGACCCAGGUUUGAUCCCUGGAUGGGGAA